rnacentral:rRNA from 1 species
GAUGAACGCUGGCGGCGUGCCUAAUACAUGCAAGUCGAGCGAAGCGGGGACGGGUGAGUAACACGUGGAUAACCUCAUAUAAGACUGGGAUAACUUCGGGAAACCGGAGCUAAACCGGAUACUUAUAAGUGGAUCCUCGCUGCAUUAGCUAGUUGGUAAGGUAACGGCCUACCAAGGCAACGAUGCAUAGCAGACCUGAGAGGGUGAUCGGCCACACUGGAACUGAGACACGGUCCAGACUCCUACGGGAGGCAGCAGUAGGGAAUCUUCCGCAAUGGGCGAAAGCCUGACGGAGCAACGCCGCGUGAGUGAUGAAGGCCUUCGGAUCGUAAAGCUCUGUUAUCAGGGAAGCGGUACCUAAUCAGAAAGCCACGGCUAACUACGUGCCAGCAGCCGCGGUAAUUC